rnacentral:miRNA from 1 species
ACCUCCUGUGUGCAUGGAUUGCA